UGGAUGCAUGAGGUAGCAAUACGAUGAC
rnacentral:piRNA from 1 species